CAUGGCAAUAAUAUCAAAGUUGAGGAUAUUUUAGUCUUUUCGGCUAAUUGCCUAUUGUAAUUUGACGUGUCUUUUAACCAAUUUUCCAUGUUUGUAGCCUGCCCUCAUUUUCUGGGUUGUUCCUUCUGCAUCUCGCUAUCCCCUUCCUUGUCUCUCUCUCUCUACUUCUCUAGAAGAUUAACACUCAUCUUCAUCGUGUGCUCUUCCUCAAAGCUGUUGUUGCGCUUGGAUUGGCUCUAUUAUCAUCUCCAUUGUUCAUUAUUUGUGAUUUCUCUGUUAAAUGGGUUACAUUGGCAAUAGAUUAGGGAAUUAGGGCUCUAAGUUUCUAGCUUCCGAACUUUCCAAGAAAUGAGGAAAAAGAGUGGUGUUGGAUAUGAAUUCAUGCCUUUGUGUCUCCCAACGUGCUAUAAGAAUUUGAAGAGCUCUGACCUUUGAGCAAGAACAAAAAUGUGAAUAAUUGAGAUUCCUGGUGGACAAAGAUGAUCAUGGGACUCUGCUUCAAAUAUUCACCAAGCCUGCAGUUGACUUGUAUAUUUAUUCA